AGACACGAACAGGACACACAGGUCAUGAAGUUUGCCGUUGUUCAGUUCCUGGUUGAGAAUAACGAACCAUAUGCAGUAGUUCCACAAGUGUGGAUCAAAUAUGACAUCUGUUAUUGGCUACCACUCAGCCUCAGAAAAAAGAACCAAAGAAACAAUUUAGCCAUCAAGUGUACGCCACCAUACAGCACCUGUUUUUUUUAAGUUCAUGAAGGGAGCAGAAUUAGUUGUCUCCGAAUACAAGACAAGCAUCAUAUUGACCACAGCAGCAUGUGGAGGACAGCCAUGGAGGGCCUGCAAUGAGACACUUCAACGGGCCAAAUUAUGGCCGUAGAUAUGAAGGACAUUGGACAGCUCCAACAUCAUAUUCACCACAGCAGCAUGUGAAUGACAGCCAUGGAGGUACACUAUAUAUACAAAAGUUCAGGUGGUAUCAGAUUAUUGAGUCAAGUGGCACAGGUUACUACCAUGAUAAGGACCUUUGCUGCUACUGGGCAAUCAGGUCUGGAUAAAACACUUUUGCUGAGGUGUAUGGUAACAGCAACAGUGUGUGUGUGUGUGUGUUUGUGGCUAUGCAAGCUUUUCCUGCAGGUGAGAUAUUGACAGCGGCUGCCUGUGGAAAGCGCUGUGAUGUGCUGGAGUGGACAGAGGAACGGAGGUCCUUUCUGCUCUCUCACACACACACUCUGCUUUUUCACUCCAGCCGGUACUCUACAGGGAUGUUAGUCACAUACAGCCCGGCCAACAAAGACCCAACACAUUUGACAGCUGGCAUGACAUAAAAGAGAGAGAGAAAAAGGACUGUUGUUGUAGGCUUUCCUCCAUGGUAUUACAUGUACAUGGCAGCAAUGUAAUGUAACGCCUCAACGCUCACCCUUAAUUGGGGUAUGAAAGAGAAAGCCAUGGAGAGGUUGUUUUUAUUGUACACAGACACACACAUACGCACGCAUAACCACAUGUGCAAGGAAUUCUCUGUUCUAAAAUUCCAUUUCAUGUCCAGUCAUCAUUACCAGUAGAUAUAUAUAUAUACUGUAUAUACACUACCGCUCAAAAGUUUGGGGGUCACUUGUUUUUGUCCUUGUUUAAGAAAGAAAAUAACACUUUUUGUCCAUUAAAAUAACAUCAAAUUGAUCAGAAAUACAGUGUAGACAUUGUUAAGAUUGUCAAUGACAAUUUUAGCUGGAAA